rnacentral:rRNA from 1 species
CUACGGGCUGCUCCAGUCGAGAAUCAUUCGCAAUGCGCGAAAGCGUGACGAUGCGACGCUGCGUGGAGGAUGAAGGCCCUCGGGUCGUAAACUCCUGUCAGGAGGGAAAAGCCGGCACUUGGUCAAUACCCUUGUGCCCCGAUGGUACCUCCAGAGGAAGCCACGGCUAACUCUGUGCCAGCAGCCGCGGUAAUACAGAGGUGGCGAGCGUUGUUCGGAUUUACUGGGCGUAAAGGGUGCGUAGGCGGCGUUCAAAGCUGGAUGUGAAAUCCCGGGGCUCAACCCCGGAACUGCAUCCGGAACUGGCAUGCUAGAGACCAGGAGGGGAGAGCAGAAUUCUAGGUGUAGCGGUGAAAUGCGUUGAUAUCUAGAAGAAUACCGGCGGCGAAGGCGGCUCUCUGGAAUGGUUCUGACGCUGAGGCACGAAAGCGUGGGGAGCAAACAGGAUUAGAUACCCUAGUAGUC